AUUCAGAGAUGGAUUUGUGCCUUCGGGAACCGUGAGACAGGUGCUGCAUGGCUGUCGUCAGCUCGUGUUGUGAAAUGUUGGGUUAAGUCCCGCAACGAGCGCAACCCUUAUCCUUUGUUGCCAGCGGUUAGGCCGGGAACUCAAAGGAGACUGCCAGUGAUAAACUGGAGGAAGGUGGGGAUGACGUCAAGUCAUCAUGGCCCUUACGACCAGGGCUACACACGUGCUACAAUGGCGCAUACAAAGAGAAGCGACCUCGCGAGAGCAAGCGGACCUCAUAAAGUGCGUCGUAGUCCGGAUUGGAGUCUGCAACUCGACUCCAUGAAGUCGGAAUCGCUAGUAAUCGUGGAUCAGAAUGCCACGGUGAAUACGUUCCCGGGCCUUGUACACACCGCCCGUCACACCAUGGGAGUGGGUUGCAAAAGAAGUAGGUAGCUUAACCUUCGGGAGGGCGCUUACCACUUUGUGAUUCAUGACUGGGGUGAAGUCGUAACAAGGUAACCGUAGGGGAACCUGCGGUUGGAUCACCUCCUUA
rnacentral:rRNA from 1 species